rnacentral:rRNA from 1 species
UACGUAGGGGGCAAGCGUUGUCCGGAAUCAUUGGGCGUAAAGAGCGCGUAGGCGGCCCUGUAAGUCCGCUGUGAAAGUCGAGGGCUCAACCCUUGAAUGCCGGUGGAUACUGCAGGGCUAGAGUCCGGAAGAGGCGAGUGGAAUUCCUGGUGUAGCGGUGGAAUGCAUAGAGAUCCGGAAGAACACCGGAGGCGAAGGCGGCUUGCUGGGCGUGAUCUGACGCUGAGGCGCGAAAGCGUGGGGAGCGAACAGG